GACGAACGCUAGCUACAGGCUUAACACAUGCAAGUCGAGGGACCUGCGCACGUGUGUGUAACACGUAUCCAACCUGCCCUUUACUCGGGGAUAGCCUUUCGAAAGAAAGAUUAAUACCCGAUGUUAAGGAUGGGGAUGCGUUCCAUUAGGUUGUUGGUGAGGUAACGGCUCGCCAAGCCUUUGAUGGAUAGGGGUUCUGAGAGGAAGGUCCCCGACGUUGGAGCUGAGACACGGUCCAAACUCCUACGGGAAGCAGCAGUGAGGAAUAUAGGUCAAUGGGCGUUAGCCUGAACCAGCCAAGUAGCGUGAAGGAUGAAGGGUUAUGGGUCGUAAUCUUCUGUUAUAAAAGAAUAGGUAUUAUAUGAAUAAGGAUCGGCUAACUCCGUGCCAGCCGCCGCGGUAAUAC
rnacentral:rRNA from 1 species